GAUGAACGCUGGCGGCGUGCCUAAUACAUGCAAGUCGAGCGAACGGACGAGAAGCUUGCUUUCUUGAUGUUAGCGGCGGACGGGUGAGUAACAUGUGGAUAACACACCUAUAAGACUGGGAUAAAUUCGGGAAAACGGUGCUAAUACCGGCAUAUCUUUUCAACCGCAUGGUUCAAAAGUGUCAGACGGUCUUGCUGUCACUUUUAGAUGGAUCCGUACUGCAUUAGCUAGUUGGUAAGGUAACGGCUUACCAAGGCAACGAUGCAUAGCCGACCUGAGAGGGUGAUCAGCCACACUGGAACUGAGACACGGUCCAGACUCCUACGGGAGGCAGCAGUAGGGAAUCUUGCACAAUGGGCGAAAGCCUGACGCAGCAACGCCGCGUGAAUGAUGAAGGUCUUCGGGUCGUAAAGCUCUGUUAGUGGGGAAGAACAGAUUUGUAAGAAACUGUGCACAUCUUGACGUUACCUAAAGAAGAAGCCACGGCUAACUACGUG
rnacentral:rRNA from 1 species